rnacentral:rRNA from 1 species
AACGAACGCUGGCGGCAGGCCUAACACAUGCAAGUCGAGCGGACCUUUCGGGGUCAGCGGCGGACGGGUGAGUAACGCGUGGGUAUAUGCCCUUCUCUACGGAAUAGUCCUGGGAAACUGGGGGUAAUACCGUAUACGCCCUUUGGGGGAAAGAUUUAUCGGGGAAGGAUUAGCCCGCGUUGGAUUAGGUAGUUGGUGGGGUAAUGGCCUACCAAGCCGACGAUCCAUAGCUGGUUUGAGAGGAUGAUCAGCCACACUGGGACUGAGACACGGCCCAGACUCCUACGGGAGGCAGCAGUGGGGAAUCUUAGACAAUGGGGGCAACCCUGAUCUAGCCAUGCCGCGUGAGUGAUGAAGGCCUUAGGGUUGUAAAGCUCUUUCAGCUGGGAAGAUAAUGACGGUACCAGCAGAAGAAGCCCCGGCUAACUCCGUG